rnacentral:tRNA from 1 species
GCGGGUGUGGUGGAAUUGGCAGACACGCUAGACUUAGGAUCUAGUGGGCAACCAUGCAGGUUCAAGUCCUGUCACCCGCACCA